rnacentral:rRNA from 1 species
AUUGAACGCUGGCGGCAGGCCUAACACAUGCAAGUCGAACGAGGGGCGGAAGGGUGAGUAAUGUCUGGGAAACUGACUGAGGGAGGGGGAAAACUACUGGAAAAGGUAGCUAAUACCGCAUAGCAUCGGAUGUGACGAGAUGGGAUUAGCGAGUAGGUGGGGGAAAGGCUCACCUAGGCGACGAUCCCUAGCUGGUCUGAGAGGAUGACCAGCCAUCCCGGAACUGCGACACGGGCCAGACUCCUACGGGAGGCAGCAGAGGCAAAAAGUGCACAAUGGGCGCAGGCCUGAUGCAGCCAUGCGGCGUGUAUGAAGAAGGCCUACGGGUUGUAAAGUACUUUCAGUGGGGAGGCGUUACCCGCAGAAGCAGCACCGGCUAACUCCUUGCCAGCAGCCGCGGUAAUUC